UAGGGAAUAUUGCAAAAUGGGCGAAAGCCCGAUGCAGCAACGCCGCGUGGGCGAUGAAGGCCUUCGGGUCGUAAAGCCCUUUUUGGGGGGAUGAGGAAGGACAGUACCCUCAGAAUAAGCCUCGGCUAACUACGUGCCAGCAGCCGCGGUAAAACGUAGGAGGCGAGCGUUAUCCGGAUUCACUGGGCGUAAAGCGCGUGCAGGCGGAUUGGAGAGUUGGAUGUGAAAGCUCCCGGCUUAACUGGGAGAGGUCGUUCAAUACUUCCAGUCUUGAGUGCAGUAGAGGGAAGUGGAAUUCCGGGUGUAGUGGUGAAAUGCGUAGAUAUCCGGAGGAACACCAGUGGCGAAAGCGGCUUCCUGGACUGUAACUGACGCUCAGACGCGAAAGCUAGGGUAGCAAACG
rnacentral:rRNA from 1 species